UGGUAGUGCUGGAUACUGAAGUCCUCUGUUUACCCACACAAGUGAAGAAGAAGCAGUCAAAGCUUCCUUACCCUGCUGCAGAACUGACCUGAACAGUGACCUGAAGAGACCACCCUCCUGAGAGAGGAGAGGUCACCCUGCCUCCUCGCAGGCUCUGCUCACAGCAUCC
rnacentral:sRNA from 14 species